rnacentral:rRNA from 1 species
ACGCUGGCGGCGUGCUUAACACAUGCAAGUCGAACGGAAAGGCCCUGCUUUUGUGGGGUGCUCGAGUGGCGAACGGGUGAGUAACACGUGAGUAACCUGCCCUUGACUUUGGGAUAACUUCAGGAAACUGGGGCUAAUACCGGAUAGGAGCUCCUGCUGCAUGGUGGGGGUUGGAAAGUUUCGGCGGUUGGGGAUGGACUCGCGGCUUAUCAGCUUGUUGGUGGGGUAGUGGCUUACCAAGGCUUUGACGGGUAGCCGGCCUGAGAGGGUGACCGGCCACAUUGGGACUGAGAUACGGCCCAGACUCCUACGGGAGGCAGCAGUGGGGAAUAUUGCACAAUGGGCGGAAGCCUGAUGCAGCAACGCCGCGUGCGGGAUGACGGCCUUCGGGUUGUAAACCGCUUUCGCCUGUGACGAAGCGUGAGUGACGGUAAUGGGUAAAGAAGCACCGGCUAACUACGUGCCAGCAGCCGCGGUGAUACGUAGGGUGCGAGCGUUGUCCGGAUUUAUUGGGCGUAAAGGGCUCGUAGGUGGUUGAUCGCGUCGGAAGUGUAAUCUUGGGGCUUAACCCUGAGCGUGCUUUCGAUACGGGUUGACUUGAGGAAGGUAGGGGAGAAUGGAAUUCCUGGUGGAGCGGUGGAAUGCGCAGAUAUCAGGAGGAACACCAGUGGCGAAGGCGGUUCUCUGGGCCUUUCCUGACGCUGAGGAGCGAAAGCGUGGGGAGCGAACAGGCUUAGAUACCCUGGUAGUCCACGCUGUAAACGGUGGGUACUAGGUGUGGGGUCCAUUCCACGGGUUCCGUGCCGUAGCUAACGCUUUAAGUACCCCGCCUGGGGAGUACGGCCGCAAGGCUAAAACUCAAAGGAAUUGACGGGGCCCCGCACAAGCGGCGGAGCAUGCGGAUUAAUUCGAUGCAACGCGUAGAACCUUACCUGGGUUUGACAUGGAUCGGGAGUGCUCAGAGAUGGGUGUGCCUCUUUUGGGGUCGGUUCACAGGUGGUGCAUGCCUGUCGUCAGCUCGUGUCGUGAGAUGUUGGGUUAAGUCCCGCAACGAGCGCAACCCUUGUUCACUGUUGCCAGCACGUUAUGGUGGGGACUCAGUGGAGACCGCCGGGGUCAACUCGGAGGAAGGUGGGGAUGACGUCAAGUCCUCAUGCCCCUUAUGUCCAGGGCUUCACGCAUGCUACAAUGGCUGGUACAGAGAGUGGCGAGCCUGUGAGGGUGAGCGAAUCUCGGAAAGCCGGUCUCAGUUCGGAUUGGGGUCUGCAACUCGACCUCAUGAAGUCGGAGUCGCUAGUAAUCGCAGAUCAGCAACGCUGCGGUGAAUACGUUCCCGGGGCUUGUACACACCGCCCGUCAAGUCAUGAAAGUUGGUAACACCCGAAGCCGGUGGCCUAACCGUUGUGGGGGAGCCGUCGAAGGUGGGACUGGUGAUUAGGACU